CAAUAAUUCAAUAUCAAUACAGCAAUUUUUUUUUUAUAACGGUGAUUUGAUUUUUAAACAUUUCAGAUAUUUCAAUAUACAUAUUACUAGUGUUUCCCAAACAUUGAUUUAUUUGUGGUAGCUCCACAAUAUCACCACUAAAUCGCCACAAAUAGAUUUUCCAAAAUCCUUUUGACUUCUUUGAAUAAACACGAGCCUUGCAUGAUUCAAAAUCAAAACGCAGAGGGGGUGUUUUAUAAGAAUGCAUCUUUAAAGGGAAUCCACUGUCUUCAGAAAAUCUUCGAUGUCAUUUUCGUUUUAUCUGACAAAGUAGUGUUUAUGAGCGAAGCGCUGCUUUGUUUACAGCCGUUACCGGGGAAACCACUGUUUCUGCCGCUCCAUAAGCGCCUCCUGCUGGCAGAGAAUGAAUGUCCAUUUUCAAUAAGCCUGUCUCCAGCAAUGUGUAUUUGUUGUUGCUCACUCUUUUUUUUUUCUGUUUUCUCCAGCAACUCUGAGCACUUUUCAUAUUGUUUAUCCUGGAUGAAGCACUUUUGUUUAAAUCUAUAAGAAUAAUCAGCCUAUGUUAUAGUUUAAAGUUUAACAUAAUAAUAAGGGGAGUCUGAGAGUCAUGUUUGUUUGAUGAGAUUUCACAUUUCUUGUUUCUAUGAAGCCUAAAUACAAAUAAAAGGUGAACAUUCAUUUUUUUUUUUUUGUACAGUUCUAAAAUAUUAUGUAGUUUUAUAGGAGGUGGUUUUCUUGGCAAAUAAAUUUUUCAGAAAUUUGUAGGUGCAGACAUCGAUAACAACAAAAAAACAGUAAGUAAUAAUAUGCUACAUCUAUUUCAGCAAAGUCCGGG